GGGCGCAAGCUGAACCAGCCAUGCCGCGUGCAGGAUGACGGUCCUAUGGAUUGUAAACUGCUUUUGUACGAGAAGAAACAACAUUACGUGUAAUGUCUUGACGGUAUCGUAAGAAUAAGGAUCGGCUAACUCCGUGCCAGCAGCCGCGGUAAUACGGAGGAUCCAAGCGUUAUCCGGAAUCAUUGGGUUUAAAGGGUCCGUAGGCGGUUUAGUAAGUCAGUGGUGAAAGCCCAUCGCUCAACGGUGGAACGGCCAUUGAUACUGCUGAACUUGAAUUAUUAGGAAGUAACUAGAAUAUGUAGUGUAGCGGUGAAAUGCUUAGAGAUUACAUGGAAUACCAAUUGCGAAGGCAGGUUACUACUAAUGGAUUGACGCUGAUGGACGAAAGCGUGGGUAGCGAACAGGAUUAGAUACCCUGGUAGUCCACGCCGUAAACGAUGGAUACUAGCUGUUGGGAGCAAUUUCAGUGGCUAAGCGAAAGUGAUAAGUAUCCC
rnacentral:rRNA from 1 species